rnacentral:rRNA from 1 species
UACGGGGGGGGCAAGCGUUGUUCGGAAUUACUGGGCGUAAAGGGCUCGUAGGCGGCCAACUAAGUCAGACGUGAAAUCCCCAGGCUUAACCUGGGAACUGCGUCUGAUACUGGAUGGCUUGAAUCCGGGAGAGGGAUGCAGAAUUCCAGGUGUAGCGGUGAAAUGCGUAGAUAUCUGGAGGAAUACCGGUGGCGAAGGCGGCUUGCUGGGCCAGUUCUGACGCUGAGGAGCGAAAGCGUGGGGAGCGAACGGG